rnacentral:rRNA from 1 species
AUUGAACGCUGGCGGCAUGCCUUACACAUGCAAGUCGAACGGCAGCACGGGGCAACCUGGUGGCGAGUGGCGAACGGGUGAGUAAUGCAUCGGAACGUGCCAUUGAGUGGGGGAUAACGUAGCGAAAGUUGCGCUAAUACCGCAUAUUCUGUGAGCAGGAAAGCAGGGGACCGCAAGGCCUUGCGCUCUUUGAGCGGCCGAUGUCAGAUUAGCUAGUUGGUGAGGUAACGGCUUACCAAGGCGACGAUCUGUAGCGGGUCUGAGAGGAUGAUCCGCCACACUGGAACUGAGACACGGUCCAGACUCCUACGGGAGGCAGCAGUGGGGAAUUUUGGACAAUGGGCGCAAGCCUGAUCCAGCCAUGCCGCGUGAGU